GUGGGGGAUAUUGCACAAUGGAGGAAACUCUGAUGCAGCGACGCCGCGUGAGGGAAGAAGGUCUUCGGAUUGUAAACCUCUGUCUUCGGGGACGAAAGAAAUGACGGUACUCGAGGAGGAAGCCACGGCUAACUACGUGCCAGCAGCCGCGGUAAAACGUAGGUGGCAAGCGUUGUCCGGAAUUACUGGGUGUAAAGGGAGCGCAGGCGGAACUGCAAGUUGGAUGUCAAAUCUACGGGCUCAACCCGUAUACGCAUUCAAAACUGCGGUUCUUGAGUAGUGCAGAGGUAGGCGGAAUUCCCGGUGUAGCGGUGGAAUGCGUAGAUAUCGGGAGGAACACCAGUGGCGAAGGCGGCCUACUGGGCACCAACUGACGCUGAGGCUCGAAAGCAUGGGUAGCAAACAGGAUUAGAAACCCCAGUAGUCC
rnacentral:rRNA from 1 species